AACGUAGGACACAAGCGUUAUCCGGAGUUACUGGGCGUAAAGGGCGUGUAGGCGGAGGUGCAAGUCUAUUCUGAAAGCUCCUGGCUAAACUGGGAGAGGCGAAUGGAGACUGCAUAUCUAGAGUGAGGAAGAGGAAAGUGGAAUUCCGCGUGUAGUGGUGAAAUGCGUAGAGAUGCGGAGGAACACCAGUGGCGAAGGCAGCCCCCUGGGUCAAGAUUGACGCUCAUGCACGAAAGCGUGGGGAGCAAACAGG
rnacentral:rRNA from 1 species